GACGAACGCUGGCGGCGUGCCUAAUACAUGCAAGUCGAGCGAAUCUUGAGGUGCUUGCACCACUUGGUUAGCGGCGGACGGGUGAGUAACACGUGGGCAACCUGCCUGUAAGACUGGGAUAACUUCGGGAAACCGGAGCUAAUACCGGAUAAUCCUUUUUCUCUCAUGAGGAAAAGCUGAAAGUCGGUUUACGCUGACACUUACAGAUGGGCCCGCGGCGCAUUAGCUCGUUGGUGAGGUAACGGCUCACCAAGGCGACGAUGCGUAGCCGACCUGAGAGGGUGAUCGGCCACACUGGGACUGAGACACGGCCCAGACUCCUACGGGAGGCAGCAGUAGGGAAUCUUCCGCAAUGGACGAAAGUCUGACGGAGCAACGCCGCGUGAGCGAUGAAGGCCUUCGGGUCGUAAAGCUCUGUUGUUAGGGAAGAACAAGUAUCGGAGUAACUGCCGGUACCUUGACGGUACCUAACCAGAAAGCCACGGCUAACUACGUGCCAGCAGCCGCAGUAA
rnacentral:rRNA from 1 species